rnacentral:rRNA from 1 species
UACGUAGGCAGCAAGCGUUGUUCGGAAUUACUGGGCGUAAAGAGUGUGUAGGCGGUGUUCUAAGUCUGUUGUGAAAUCUCCCGGCUUAACUGGGAGGGUGCGGCGGAAACUGGAAUGCUAGAGGAUGGGAGAGGUAAGCGGAAUUCCUGGUGUAGCGGUGAAAUGCGUAGAUAUCGGGAAGAACACCCGUGGCGAAGGCGGCUCUCUGGGACGGUACUGACGCUGAGACGCGAAAGCGUGGGGAGCGAACAGG